CGUGAAGAACCUGCCCUUCAGUGGGGGACAACAGUUGGAAACGACUGCUAAUACCGCAUAAGACCACAGUACCGCAUGGUACAGUGAUCAAAGGAUUUAUUCGCUGAAGGAUGGCUUCGCGUCCGAUUAGGUAGUUGGUGAGGUAACGGCCCACCAAGCCUACGAUCGGUAGCCGGACUGAGAGGUUGAUCGGCCACAUUGGGACUGAGACACGGCCCAGACUCCUACGGGAGGCAGCAGUGGGGAAUAUUGCACAAUGGAGGAAACUCUGAUGCAGCGACGCCGCGUGAGGGAAGAAGGUCUUCGGAUUGUAAACCUCUGUCUUCAGGGACGAUAAUGACGGUACCUGAGGAGGAAGCACCGGCUAACUACGCGCCAGCAGCCGCGGUAAAACGUAGGGUGCAAGCGUUGUCCGGAAUUACUGGGUGUAAAGGGAGCGCAGGCGGGAAGGUAAGUUGGAUGUUUAAUCUACGGGCUCAACCCGUAUCAGCAUUCAAAACUAUUUUUCUUGAGUAGUGCAGAGGUAGGCGGAAUUCCCGGUGUAGCGGUGGAAUGCGUAGAUAUCGGGAGGAACACCAGUGGCGAAGGCGGCCUACUGGGCACUAACUGACGCUGAGGCUCGAAAGCAUGGGUAGCAAACAGGAUUAGAUACCCUGGUAGUCCAUGCCGUAAACGAUGAUUACUAGGUGUGGGAGGAUUGACCCCUUCCGUGCCGCAGUUAACACAAUAAGUAAUCCACCUGGGGAGUACGACCGCAAGGUUGAA
rnacentral:rRNA from 1 species